rnacentral:lncRNA from 1 species
AUGUUCAAAUCUUCUAAUGAUUUGUUUGUGUAGAAAUGAGUAUAUUUAGAGAAUUGAUUUAGGGUUUGGUUUUGAGAUUUUAUUUUAACACUUGCUUAUUGCUCUUUGCUUUGAUCAUUAAUAAUUUGUAUGGUAUUGGUUCGGUACCUGUAUUAGAUACUAAAUGAACUUCAUUGUGACGUACAAUCCUCAAAAAGCACUGAAUUUUUUUCAAUUUUUUUUGUUUUUUUUUAUUUUUUUAAUUUUUUUUAUUUUUUUAUUUUUUUAAUUUUUUUGUUUUUUAUUUUUUUGAUUUUUUUAAUUUUUUUUGAUUUUUGAUUUUUGAUUUUUGAUUUUUGAUUUUUGAUUUUUUUGAUUUUUAUUAUUUAUUUUUUUCAUGCCAAAAUCCAUAUUAACAAAAAACUCAUCUUGACCUACAUCCAUCCUGACCCAUUUCUUAAUAAACUCAUCGUAACCCAAACUCAUCCUAACCCAUUACCCAAACCUGCCCAACCCACCCAUUUUGCCACCCCUAGUUUUUAGUGUUGUUUCCAGAGUCGUAAAGUCCUUCAAUAAGACUUUUGCACCCAUGGUCUAGGAUAGGGCUGGCAUAUCGUGUAUACCCGUACACGAUAAGACACGACAUGAUAAGACACGAUACACGAAAUCCCAUACACGAACACGACACGAUAACUUAUCGUGUCCUUUUUCUCAAACACGAACACGAACACGAACACGACACGAUAUACACGAAAAUUACCUGUUAAUACCUGUUAACACAACUGUUCAACUGUUAUACACGAAAAUUACCUGUUAAUACCUGUUAACACGAACAAAAACACGAACACGACAUGCUAUCUGAGAGUUACAGAGGGAGUUUAGGGUUUUAUUUUUUUUUAAUUGAAUGAGGAAUGAAAAUAGAAAGGAAUUAAGGAACCCACACGUACAUGGCUAAUGAGUUUUAUUUAAUUUAAUUUCUUAUCGUGCACUAACGGGUAUUAACAGGUAAACAUGUAUUUAACCUGUUUAUACACGAAAAUUAACAGGUAAUCUCGUGUCUACCUGUUUGGUACACGAUACCUGUUAAGGCCAUACACGAUACCUGUUAACUUCGUGUAAGUUCGUGUCGUGUAUUCGUGUAAAAUUGUCAGCCCUAGUCUAUGAGUAAUUGAGGUGGUGAUGAUGAUGUUGGUGGUGGGUGGCGGGUGAAGUAAAAAAGUAAAGUUGGGGAGGCAUAGUGUUAGGUGGAUAGGUAUAGGGAGGUCUUUAUGAGUGGUGGAGAAGAUGGGGAUGCGAAAUUAGAAUAAUACCCCUUAAACAAACUGCCCACUAACGGUUCAUUACAGGUAGGGAGACAUAGUGUGAUGACUUGCAACCAUGGGGAGGUAAAGUGCAAAAAAUGGAAGAUAGGGAGACAAAGUGAAAGCGCUACCAAACAACAGAGAAGCAAAUUGCAGUUUACUCAUAUUUAUAUUUAUGGAGGCUAAUAGUAAUGGUGGGUAAUGAUAGAGACCCGCUGAGGCUUAUCAUAACCCUGUUAAAAUACUACUAAAAUUAAUUAAGACAAGUAUAACCUAUUAUAAUUGAUAAAGACCCAUAACCGUGUUAAAAUACUACUAAAAUUAAUUAAGACAAGUAUGACCUAUUAUAAUUACUUAUUACAAAUCUAGUCACUUGUGGUCAGUCAUGGAUGAUCACGUAUGUAAUUCAUAUUCAUAAAAUAGUUAAUUAUCGAAAUGGUCAAUAAUGUGCUUUGCCAAAGUCACACAUUUGGAUGCUAGAUUUUAAAAGUUGCAUGUUGGACUUUUGUAAUUUCGAUU